UACGUAGGGGGCAAGCGGUGUCCGGAAUUAUUGGGCGUAAAGCGCGCGCAGGCGGUGUUUUAAGUCUGAUGUGAAAUCUCGUGGCUUAACCGCGAGCGGCCAUUGGAAACUGGAAGACUUGAGUACAGAAGAGGAGAGUGGAAUUCCACGUGUAGCGGUGAAAUGCGUAGAUAUGUGGAGGAACACCAGUGGCGAAGGCGACUCUCUGAUCUGUAACUGACGCUGAGGCGCGAGAGCGUGGGGAGCGAACAGG
rnacentral:rRNA from 1 species